rnacentral:rRNA from 1 species
GAUGAACGCUGGCGGCGUGCCUAAUACAUGCAAGUCGAGCGAACAGACGAGGAGCUUGCUCCUCUGACGUUAGCGGCGGACGGGUGAGUAACACGUGGAUAACCUACCUAUAAGACUGGGAUAACUUCGGGAAACCGGAGCUAAUACCGGAUAAUAUAUUGAACCGCAUGGUUCAAUAGUGAAAGACGGUUUUGCUGUCACUUAUAGAUGGAUCCGCGCCGCAUUAGCUAGUUGGUAAGGUAACGGCUUACCAAGGCAACGAUGCGUAGCCGACCUGAGAGGGUGAUCAGCCACACUGGAACUGAGACACGGUCCAGACUCCUACGGGAGGCAGUAGUAGGGAAUCUUCCGCAAUGGGCGAAAGCCUGACGGAGCAACGCCGCGUGAGUGAUGAAGGUCUUCGGAUCGUAAAACUCUGUUAUUAGGGAAGAACAAAUGUGUAAGUAACUAUGCACGUCUUGACGGUACCUAAUCAGAAAGCCACGGCUAACUACGUG